rnacentral:rRNA from 1 species
CGUACGAUCUAGCCUGAUACAGCCUGCCUCGUGUGUGAUGAAGGCCUUACGUUGUAAAGAUCUUUUGUACAGGACGAUAAAGCUUCAUCUAAUACAGGAUGCCCCCGAAAGUACCGUAAGAAUAAGCACCGGCUAACUACGUGCCAGCAGCCGCGGUAAUA